UGUAGAGAGAAGCAAGGGAAUAAUUGUCAUCUGAAAUGACAGGAAGAAUGGAUAAUGCUGGUCUAUUUAUAGCAAUGACUGUAUCUGCAAGCAUGCACUGCAUAUGCCUAUUUGACUACGCUGACCUCUGAAAAUCCAAGGCAGCCCACUUGAAACAGGAUCAGGCUUUAACAACAGCUCCUGCCCAUCUCAACCAGCUUCUUCUCCUCCCCCACCCGCUCCCAAACAACACUUAUUACCAUCUAAGACACUAUCAAACAAGGUUUUUUUUCUUCUGAAGACUCUCUCCAGCCACAGAGUAGGGGAACAAGCAUGUGACAUGUAUUUAGAGGAUACUCAGCAGACUACAUUGAGUUAAGUGGACCCUCUCAGAAAGGAGUAAGCCUCAAGGGUGCUGUAGAUUUGAUAUAAACAAGUUCCAUUAGCAAUUAGACAAAGUAAAUUCUAGUAUUUCCUGUAUAGUUAGGACAGUGUCAUUUUUGUCUUUAUAAACCCAUUUUAAAGGUGUUUAUGACAAAUGUUUGAACCUGCUUUGCAGCAAAGUAUGUGAGGAACAUGUAAGCUUAGAAAAGUGUGGUUUGAAGCACUAUUUGGAGCAAAAUCUGUUUAACCUUUAAGUUCCAGCAAUACAACAAGAUAGCUAUUACUAAUUAGGUCUCUUUUCCUGUGGCAACUUCCUAUGUGACAUUUAUUAUAUAGAUAAAAUAUUUCUGGUUAUAACUCUUCAUUGCAACAGACUAAGCACUUGUCACUAUGAGACUUGGUUCCAUCUGAAAUACCUGCUUCCUGUUCCGAUCAUAGAAGGCAGAAACAGGCAGCGAUGAAUCCCUGCCUUUUCUUUCACAUACAGAUUGAAUAGCUAUAUGCAGAAGACCAUUACUAAGAACAUGUCUCAGCUUGGUUUGCUUUCUGAACAUAUUUUUGUUCAUUUGAUACAUUACUUUUAAUUGACACAAGCAGAAGU